AGACCCGAAACCCGGUGAUCUAGCCAUGGGCAGGUUGAAGGUUGGGUAACACUAACUGGAGGACCGAACCGACUAAUGUUGAAAAAUUAGCGGAUGACCUGUGGCUGGGGGUGAAAGGCCAAUCAAACCGGGAGAUAGCUGGUUCUCCCCGAAAGCUAUUUAGGUAGCGCCUCGUGAAUUCAUCUCCGGGGGUAGAGCACUGUUUCGGCUAGGGGGCCAUCCCGGCUUACCAACCCGAUGCAAACUGCGAAUACCGGAGAAUGUUAUCACGGGAGACACACGGCGGGUGCUAACGUCCGUCGUGAAGAGGGAAACAACCCAGACCGCCAGCUAAGGUCCCAAAGUCAUGGUUAAGUGGGAAACGAUGUGGGAAGGCCCAGACAGCCAGGAUGUUGGCUUAGAAGCAGCCAUCAUUUAAAGAAAGCGUAAUAGCUCACUGGUCGAGUCGGCCUGCGCGGAAGAUGUAACGGGGCUAAACCAUGCACCGAAGCUGCGGCAGCGACACUCAGGUGUUGUUGGGUAGGGGAGCGUUCUGUAAGCCUGCGAAGGUGGCCUGUGAGGGUUGCUGGAGGUAUCAGAAGUGCGAAUGCUGACAUAAGUAACGAUAAAGCGGGUGAAAAGCCCGCUCGCCGGAAGACCAAGGGUUCCUGUCCAACGUUAAUCGGGGCAGGGUGAGUCGACCCCUAAGGCGAGGCCGAAAGGCGUAGUCGAUGGGAAACGGGUUAAUAUUCCCGUACUUGGUGUUACUGCGAAGGGGGGACGGAGAAGGCUAUGUUGGCCGGGCGACGGUUGUCCCGGUUUAAGCGUGUAGGUGUGUGUUCCAGGUAAAUCCGGUUCACUUUAACACUGAGGCGUGAUGACGAGGCACUACGGUGCUGAAGCAACAAAUGCCCUGCUUCCAGGAAAAGCCUCUAAGCAUCAGGUAACAUCAAAUCGUACCCCAAACCGACACAGGUGGUCAGGUAGAGAAUACCAAGGCGCUUGAGAGAACUCGGGUGAAGGAACUAGGCAAAAUGGUGCCGUAACUUCGGGAGAAGGCACGCUGACAUGUAGGUGAAGUGAUUU
rnacentral:rRNA from 1 species